rnacentral:rRNA from 1 species
UACAGAGGUCUCAAGCGUUUGUUCGGGUUCAUUGGGCGUAAAGGGUGCGUAGGCGGCGCGGUAAGUCGGGUGUGAAAUCUCGGAGCUUAACUCCGAAACUGCAUUCGAUACUGCCGUGCUUGAGGACUGGAGAGGAGACUGGAAUUUACGGUGAGCGGUGAAAUGCGUAGAUAUCGUAAGGAAGACCAGUGGCGAAGGCGGGU